GGGUGCUUAGCUCAGUGGUAGAGCGCUUCGUUCACAUCGAAGAGGUCGUUGGUUCAAAUCCAGCAGCACCCACAA
rnacentral:tRNA from 4 species